CAAGAAUAUUAGUCAAUGCUCGCAAGAGUGAACUAGCUAACUGGAAUCAUGAGUGUGUCACUCGUGAAUUGUAAAAGGAAAAAUAAUGAUGUCACUUUUACAAAUAGUGUUGUCUAAACCUGGUGCCAGAAGACUCGGUAAGGCCAGAGACGCAAGCGUUAAUCAUCCUGAUCAGGCGUAAAGGGUUUGUAGGCAGCUUUAAUAUAAUUAAAGAUUGAAUCAAAUAGAGGUCAAGAGAAUUCCCAGAUUAGGGUUGAUAUCUGAAUAAACUGGGAAGAAUUCUAAAUAGCGAAGGCACUUUUCUAUCUAAUGAUUGACGCUGAGAAACGAAGGGGAGGAUAGAAAACAGGAUUAGAUACCCUAAUAUCCCUCUCUGUAAACGAUGAAUGGUAGUUGCUAGUAAUAAUAAUUAGUGACGAUGCUAACGCGUUAACCAUUCCGCCUUGUGAGUACGACUGCAAAGUUGAAAACAAAAAAAUUAGUCGGUUUCGGAGCAA
rnacentral:rRNA from 1 species